AAAAAGACAAACCCUGGGUUUCCGUGCCAACGUUUGACUGUCCGUCUUAUAUAAUUUUUUUUUAUAAUUAGUAUUUUUAUUGUUGUUAGAUGAUAAAACAUAAUUAAUACUUUAUGCGUGACUUAUCUUUUUAAUUUUUUUCAUAAUUUUUUCAAAUAAGACUGACUAUCAAUUUGUUGGAUACGGAAACCAGCGUUUAUC
rfam:Oryza rufipogon genomic scaffold, chr03